rnacentral:rRNA from 1 species
GGCCAGACUCCUACGGGAGGCAGCAGUGAGGAAUAUUGGUCAAUGGGCGGGAGCCUGAACCAGCCAUGCCGCGUGAAGGCGAGUGCCCUACGGGCGUUAAACUUCUUUUGUGCGGGAGCAAUAAGGGCCACGCGUGGCCCGAUGAGAGUACCGCACGAAUACGCAUCGGCUAACUCCGUGCCAGCAGCCGCGGUAAUACGUAGGGGGCAAGCGUUAUCCGGAUUUACUGGGUGUAAAGGGAGCGUAGACGGCGGCGCAAGUCCGGAGUGAAAGCCCACGGCCCAACCGUGGGACUGCUCUGGAAACUGUGCGGCUUGAGUGCGGGAGGGGCAGGCGGAAUUCCUAGUGUAGCGGUGAAAUGCGUAGAUAUUAGGAGGAACACCGGCGGCGAAGGCGGCCUGCUGGACCGUAACUGACGUUGAGGCUCGAAAGCGUGGGGAGCAAACAGGAUUAGAUACCCCAGUA